AGUUUGAGGCAAUCCGGAGACUCGAGAAUGUAGUUUUGAUUUAUUGGGAAGUGUGCUUGAAUUGUGAAUUUGAGAUACUAUUGGUGACGAUGAAGCUAGUAGCUCACGAGUUUGCUAGAGUUGAUCUAUUGGUUGAGGUGAGCCGCCGCUUUGUUCGUGGAGGCUACCAAAAGUGUCUUUAUCAUUUAUUUAUUAAUGUUUUUUUUUCUUUUGGGAUUUACAAACCCGAAUCUUUUGUAAUUCUCUUAGAUGCUCCAUGGUCUAGUGUAAGAUUUGGGCAAGAGUAUCUGGUUAAUAUUUUGAGACACUAAUUAUCCGUAAUUAAUUAUUAUAUUA